rnacentral:misc_RNA from 1 species
UGCUGGAAUCAUCUUUGAUACAUACAACAUGAGAGGGCCUUCAGGGUCACAGUUGCGAAUUGCAUUUGCAUAAACAUCAUCCAGUGGACCUUCAUACAGAUUUUCCACACGGUAUCUCUGUGCCGUGUGAGGAGAGGGAAGGUGGAAUAUCAUCAUCUCAAGAAGAGCAGUACUAGCUGGAAGCCAUGUCUGCAUGACCCUCUUCAUCAAGGCUUUUCCGACAAGCUCCUUCUCUUCAGACUUCAUUGUUACAUUAAGUUUCUGCAGCAUAGGCCACAACUUAUCUUUUUGAUCAUUCAUGCAGAUGUUGAUAAUUUGCUUGAUUGGCUCAUAACAAAACUGGACAAACCCACGUUUACAAGUGGGA